rnacentral:lncRNA from 1 species
AUGGGGGUUCCCUGGGGAUACCUACCUCACUAGCAAUGACUGAGGCUUACAUGCUCAUGACCUGAUCAGGUAGGCUGGUACCGUACCGUACCGUAGUGACUAUGACAGAUGACGACCAAUUACAUGUCUGCCUUGCACAUGCAAGAUCGCAUUUGAGAAGAAGUUGUAUGCAGACAUGAAAGCAGAGAUUGAUAGAACAUAGGAGAAAGGGCAAAUCUGAAACACCAGACUGGUGACCUUGGAUAGAAUAUUGCUCAUGCAUGGUGUCCCUGAAAGAGGUUUGUACAGACAUGUGACUCUUUUGAGCCGGCAGGUGCCACGGUGGCAUGUCUGUA